rnacentral:rRNA from 1 species
AUGCAUGUCUAAGUACAGUAGCAAUUACAGUGAAACCGCGAAUGGCUCAUUAAAUCAGUCAUAAUUCCUUGGAUAGUGAUAAAACUUCCUCGGAUAACUGUGGAAAAUCCAGAGCUAAUACGUGCACCUGAGCUCCGACCUUGGCCGUUUCGGCGGUUGAGGGAAGAGCGCAAUUAUUAGUUUCAAAACUGACCGGCGCAAACGAGCUGUCCGCAGUGACGCGCGCCGUUCGUCUUUUUUGAUGACUCCGGAUAAUUCCGCCGAGCGCUAAGGUCUUCGUACCGGCGCCGUAUCUUUCAAGUGACUGCCUUAUCAGCUUUCGAUUGUAGGUUAAACGCCUACAAUGGCUGUAACGGGUAACGGGGAAUCAGGGUUCGAUUCCGGAGAGGGAGCCUGAGAAACGGCUACCACAUCUAAGGAAGGCAGCAGGCACGCAAAUUACCCACUCCCAGCUCGGGGAGGUAGUGACGAAAAAUAACGAUGCGAGACUCUUCCGAGGCCUCGCAAUCGGAAUGAGUCCAGUUUAAAUCCUUGGACGAGGAUCCAUUGGAGGGCAAGUCUGGUGCCAGCAGCCGCGGUAAUUCCAGCUCCAAUAGCGUAUAUUAAAGUUGCUGUGGUUAAAAAGCUCGUAGUUGGACCUUUUAAGGCUCCAUUAACGUGGUUUAGGUUCGCUCUUGGGCGUUCGUCGAGCGUAUCGGAUCAGGAGGGUGUCGUGUGCGUGUGUGUUCCUUUUAUUGCGCGAGCUUUAAUCGGGUCCUCGCGCGUGCGCUCUUUCCGCGAGAAACUCUCG